AGUGAACGCUGGCGGUAGGCCUAACACAUGCAAGUCGAACGGCAGCACAGGAGAGCUUGCCCUCUGGGUGGCGAGUGGCGGACGGGUGAGGAAUACAUCCGAAUCUACUUUUUCGUGGGGGAUAACGUAGGGAAACUUACGCUAAUACCGCAUACGACCUACGGGUGAAAGCAGGGGACCUUCGGGCCUUGCGCGAUUGAAUGAGCCGAAGUCGGAUUAGCUAGUUGGCGGGGUAAAGGCCCACCAAGGCGACGAUCCGUAGCUGGUCUGAGAGGAUGAUCAGCCACAAUGGAGCUGAGACACGGUCCAGACUCCUACGGGAGGCAGCAGUGGGGAAUAUUGGACAAUGGGCGCAAGCCUGACCCAGCCAUACCGCGUGGGUGAAGAAGGCCUUCGGGUUGUAAAGCCCUUUUGUUGGGAAAGAAAUCCAGCUGGCUAAUACCCGGUUGGGAUGACGGUACCCAAAGAAUAAGCACCGGCUAACUUCGUGCCAGCCGCCGCCGUAA
rnacentral:rRNA from 1 species